AUACUUAUCUGGCGGAGGAGGCAUGAUUGGGGGGGGGUGCUUUCCCAAGGGUAAGGCUCCUUCCUCCCUUGUACUUGGGAGGUGCUGGCCCCUGCUGCUUUCCGCAGUUCAGAAAAUCAGCUGCUUAAGUUUUAGUAAAGGGAGAUCGUGUUCACA